CAAGUUUUCUAUAUAUAUAAUAUAUGUACAUAUAUACAUAUAUAUAAAUAUAUAUGUAUAUAUGUAUGUAAUUGUCAUUUAGUUUUCAAAAUUAUACGAAAAUAAAUUCAUAAUCAAACGAAUGUUACAGUUCCUGUCAUAGUGAGACUCGUACAGUGACUCCCCCACACAGGUGGUCAGAAGAGCAUACUUCAUGUCCGUAACGGUUCAACGUACACAUAAAAGCACCUUACAAGUAUUACGAGAUCUGUUAAACACACGGGGGCCGUGAAUGCCCCAACUCAUGGAUGUCUUCUUUGUUACGACACGGGUACCAUUCCACUGUCUUUGAUGUCCACUGUGUUAUUCAUAUAUUGUAGAAUUGGAAUUGACUAUAGUCAUCCAAUCACAUGCUCCGAUGGUGCAAGAUGACCAGUUAAAAAAAAAUACGACUUCCACCUAAUAGUUAGAUGGAUUCGUGAUAUACAUGGAGUUAUCACUUUAGAAAACAGUCUUCCCACUGGUUAGCAACGAUUUGGACUUUUUAUCUGUGCUACAGUUUUCAUCGUUUCGUGAGCACAUGGACAGAAACUUUAUAUAUAUAUUGCAAGUUGUUCUGACGACUGGCAAAUUGCUCUGACUAUAAAAAUAUAAAACAUUGUUUACAACAAUAGGACAAAAUACACCUAGGUUGGUUAUGUUAUUCAUGCAAUUAGCCAUAUUGCGUUGGUGCUGUGUAAAGUUGUAGAAUAGAACAAAUGCAAUUCGAUUAAAAUAACUAAAUACGAGUUCAGAUAUAGAACGUUUUUGAUCUCGAUUAUUCAAUUGGUUUUUUCUCUCUGUCUUUCUAUCUCUUUAUUGUUUUAUGUUUAAAUCUCGAUUUUUUGUUAAGAUUCAGAUUGAUACGCGAUGUCAAAACAGUCUAUAAAUGGGAAGGAUUGUGUCUUUUUUGGAAUUGAUGAAAGCGAGAAGUGACCAAUCAGACCAAUAGGUAACAUAUUUGUUGUUAAAACAAAUUAAUUACAAGACUAUUUCCCAAAUUAUGUAAAAAAAAUAGUAAGCUUCGAAGUGCUCUCUUGCUAUUUUAAUGCGCUUUGUUACCUUUUUAUAAAUUUAUUGUUAUAAGAGUUAGAUAUUUAUAAAUAUUAAAACACGAAUGUUUAAACCGUGAUUUUUCUGAAAAAAUUAUAAGAUAUUUUUUAAAAUAAUGUAGAAAGUUAUUAGAUCUCUAUUAAACACUCUAAGGGGGGUAAAAUAUGUAAGUUAUUAUUUAAUUUUCGAAUUUUUUUAAAUUUAAAUAUAUUGUAUUCAAUAAAUUAUAUUAAAAAUAAUUCUAAUAACAGUAGUUGAUCUCUGAUCCGACAUUCUAUUAAUACGCACUUCUGACAUCUGCCACAGAGAGAAAAAAUUUAAUACUGUUUUGAUUUGUACGAAUAUAUGUAUUAAAAGGCAAAUUAUAUUUCUAAAUCAAAAUUACUUCAUAUAUAUCUCAAUGAUUUGCUUAUUUAAGAGUUUUUUGCUUUUUAAGUAUAAAUAUAGUCUUACAUACACUUUACUUAUCACUACCUCCUUAAAAAUAACAUGUAUCAGGCUCUAAGUAUGCCGGAUAAGAGGACUUUACUGUUUUAAAUUUUAGUUUAUUUCAUUAAUUACAAAUAAAAUUAUAAUUUAAACAGUUUAAAUUUUUAUAUAUGUAUAUGUAUAUACAUUAGAAUUAGUUUAAUUCACAAUGAUUCCCAUUUUGGAAGGUUUCGACAUUAAAUAAAAAAAUAUACGCGUUAGAAACAUGAUUCUGAAUUAUUAAAGAAAUAGUAGUAGACCACAGAAGUAUAUCAAAACAAAAUAGUUUAGUGUAUCUCUUGCUCUCUCUCACUCACUCUCUGUUGAGGAAAUAAUAUAUCUGAGAUGUGCUCAUGAAGGAUGCAGAGAACACAGAAGUAUGAAAAUUAAUGAGUUAUAACCCUUAACAGGGUUCAUGUAGUAGAUUGUCUAUCUAGCUAUUGAUAUGUGCUGUCUGUUAAAAAAAAUUCUAAAAAAUUGUAGUUAUCCAAAGACAAUAUAUGUUGACUCAUACGUCCAAAAUAUAUAUAUAAAUAUAUAUAGUGUGGAGUUGAAAAGAAGAAAAAUGUACUAUAAGAAUAAUUUGUAUCAUUUUUAUAUUCUACACAAUGGGAAAAAUAUUAAUAAGAUCCCUGUAUAUAUUGAGAAACAUUAAAAUACUGUUGACCUGUACAAUGCUGUUGGAAUAAUUAAAAAGGG
rnacentral:lncRNA from 1 species